CCUUGACCAAGUUCCAGGAAGUGACCAACAACCUGGAUUUUGCAAGGGAGUUGCAGAAGAGCUUCCUGUCUUUGGGGCAAGAGAUUCAGAAGCAUUGAGUUUGUAGGAGAGAAGAGGACGACCCAUGGUCGCUAGAAUGAAGACACAGUAGCAGAAUACAAUGAAGAGAGGACGACCCAUGGUCACUAGAUAGAAGCAUGAGAACGACAGGGAAGCACGCUGACAGUCCGGUCAAAGUCUUCCCGGGUCUGACCGUUCUGCUUGUCUGAUCCCUGGCGCCCGUCCACGGUUUUCAACUCUCCUCCUCCGGCGCUCGUGCAACUGAAC
rnacentral:lncRNA from 1 species